AGAGUUUGAUCCUGGCUCAGGACGAACGCUGGCGGCGUGCUUAACACAUGCAAGUCGAACGAAGCAGCUUAACGGAACUCUUCGGAGGGAAGAUGAGUUGACUGAGUGGCGGACGGGUGAGUAACGCGUGAGCAACCUGCCCAUAAGAGGGGGAUAACAGUUGGAAACGACUGCUAAUACCGCAUAAGACCACAUUACCGCAUGGUAGAGGGGUCAAAGAAAUUCGCUUAUGGAGGGGCUCGCGUCCCAUUAGGUAGUUGGUAGGGUAAAGGCCUACCAAGCCGACGAUGGGUAGCCGACCUGAGAGGGUGAUCGGCCACACUGGAACUGAGACACGGUCCAGACUCCUACGGGAGGCAGCAGUGGGGAAUAUUGGGCAAUGGGCGCAAGCCUGACCCAGCAACGCCGCGUGAGGGAAGAAGGCCUUCGGGUUGUAAACCUCUGUCCUAUGGGAAGAAGAAAGUGACGGUACCAUAGGAGGAAGCUCCGGCUAACUACGUGCCAGCAGCCGCGGUAAUACGUAGGGAGCAAGCGUUGUCCGGAAUUACUGGGCGUAAAGGGUGCGUAGGCGGUUGUUUAAGUCAGAUGUGAAAUACCCGGGCUUAACUCGGGGGCUGCAUCUGAUACUGGAUGACUAGAGUGCAGGAGAGGAAAGUGGAAUUCCUAGUGUAGCGGUGGAAUGCGUAGAUAUUAGGAGGAACACCAGUGGCGAAGGCGACUUUCUGGACUGUAACUGACGCUGAGGCACGAAAGCAUGGGGAGCAAACAGGAUUAGAUACCCUGGUAGUCCAUACUGUAAACGAUGAAUACUAGGUG
rnacentral:rRNA from 1 species